rnacentral:rRNA from 1 species
AUUGAACGCUGGCGGCAGGCCUAACACAUGCAAGUCGAGCGGUUGGCGGGAGCUUGCUCCCUGAUUCAGCGGCGGACGGGUGAGUAAUGCCUAGGAAUCUGCCUAUUAGUGGGGGACAACGUUUCGAAAGGAACGCUAAUACCGCAUACGUCCUACGGGAGAAAGCAGGGGACCUUCGGGCCUUGCGCUAAUAGAUGAGCCUAGGUCGGAUUAGCUUGUUGGUGAGGUAAUGGCUCACCAAGGCGACGAUCCGUAACUGGUCUGAGAGGAUGAUCAGUCACACUGGAACUGAGACACGGUCCAGACUCCUACGGGAGGCAGCAGUGGGGAAUAUUGGACAAUGGGCGAAAGCCUGAUCCAGCCAUGCCGCGUGUGUGAAGAAGGUCUUCGGAUUGUAAAGCACUUCAAGUUGGGAGGAAGGGUUGUAGAUUAAUACUCUGCAAUUUUGACGUUACCGACAGAAUAAGCACCGGCUAACUCUGUGCCAGCAGCCGCGGUAA